rnacentral:tRNA from 2 species
CAAAAUAUAGCUAAGACUAUAGCAUCUUGCUUACACCAAGAAGACACUUGUUAGAUUCAAGUUGUUUUGA